ACCAGGCCUCUCGACCCGCGAAGGAGACCGGCGACCCGAAAACGACGACCCGACCGGAACUUUCGCUUCCGGUCAUAUCACCGCGGCGGACCACCGGCGUUUGCUUCGUCUCGACGACGCCGAUGCACCUCUGGCUAAGGAUCGUCCAUGCACAGACCGUGGAGGGACGUUCGAAGCUUGGAAGCUUAAAGCUUUUCCGGUGUUCCUCGGCUUUUCCGGCGACUCCGGCAUCGUUUGGGUUUUCUGAGCUCUUCUGGGUUCGUUUUCCGUCUUGCCUGCACCUGUAGACGUGUCAACCUCGACUAUAGCUGGAUGUUCGAAGCUGCUGGGUUGGUGUACUCUGGCUCCUCCGUUUGUUCAUAGUCGAAAUUCCGGGAAGUACCGUGUCUUGAAAUUGAGCCUAGGUGAGCUACGUUAUCUAUCUUUAGACUUGGAGAAUUUUGGUUGCUGUUGCCGGAUGGGUGUUGUUAUGCAUGGAGUUUUGGUUUGAAAGUAAAGAACAGGGAGAAGUUAUUGGAGAGGUGAAGGUGUAAAAUUAAGAAAAUGGUUAUUAAUCGGAAUUGAAGUAGUGAUUUGGUUUGCAAUGAUUUUUGGUUGAUGAAUGAAAUUGUCGAUGGUACUAGUUUUGGGUUUUGGGUUUUGGUACAAAUGCAGAGUUAAGUGGGUGUCCUUAGUAGUUUUGGACACCCUUCAUUUGAAUUGGAAAGUUGUUGCGUGUCCAUAGUAAAUUCAGUGAAAUUACUAUGUGACGUGAUUGUGAAGAAAAACAGAAAUUAAAUGUUAAAAGGCAUAUAAAUUGGUCAGUAUUCCAAUUUUAAGUGAGUGAAAUGUUCAGUAAUUGGGCUAAUUAUUGAAUUUGUCAAGCUUAGUCAAUAUUGGUCAAACAUUGGUCAACUUGGGUGAACCUUUGGUCAAUCAUGGUCAAAUCAGGAAAAGUUGGUUGGACGAUUAGAUAAUCGUCGAGAUUAUAAAUAAUGGUUUAACGGAUUAUUAACGAUCAUUAUGUCGGAAUCUAAGACUCCAGUUACUCGAGGAACAGAAGGUUCGUGAAUUUCGGACGACUUCGGAAUCCAGGUAGGGGAUUCGGGGCCUUUCUCGGUUAGUAGUUUUCCCGUUUAAUUAAUAUAAAGUGAAGCAUGAUGCAUGUUAAAUUAUAUGGUAUGGUUAUGUUUAAAUGCAAUGCAUACUAACCAUUCAGUGAGAGAUAUCGUUGAUGGCUUGAGAGCGAAGGGUGGCUCUGACUUCCUUGGGUUCGAUCCCCAAAACCUCCGGUGGGUUAGCUACAUCGGUCGGACGGUGCGCGAUCGUAAUGACGACCCGAUUCCGUGUGUGUAGCUAGGUAGCGGACGCUCUCGCUACGCUUACCUGGUUAUGAAUUGAUUUGAGUGUGGAUGCAGGUACUGUGCACUGGUGACGGGAUUGAAGGACGGAGCGGGUGAGCGGAGUCAACUUCGAUAAAUAGUUGUAAUGGGAACAGGUUCCGAAGUUUAAUUCCAUUUCUUGAUUAUUUAGUGUUAUCUCAGAAGUAGUUGAUUGAUCAUUUACCAUUUAUUCUAAAUUCAAUACUCGGAGAUGUUGAUUAUUUCUUGACUCCUUGUUGACUCAAGCUCUA